UUAUAUAUUUAUUAGAAUCAUAAAUUUCACAUUCUAAAAAUUUUAUCUCACCCAUCAACUAUAAACCUUACAUCUAUAUUAGUUAACCCUAGAAUUAUAAAUGUCUUUUACUUUUUAUUAAAAAAAAAUGUAAAAUUGGUUAGUGUAAACAUAAAAAUGGUACUAUGAAUGUUGUAUUUUUGGCAAUUUUUCUUUCCGUUUUCUGACCUAUGCAUUAAGUAAAUUAGGUUUGGAAAAUAAAUAAAAGUAAUAUGUAAGGUAUAACAUAGUUUAUACUAUUGCUUCCAUUUAGCAAAUAAGUAGGGGUUUUUGCAAAUAUGACUCAAAACUUGAAGUCAAACACAAAACUAACUCAUGCUUUUUUUGGAACUUUGACUUGCCUCUUUCAUUCUCAAAGUUCAGAUUAUUCACGAAAAUGUCAUCACUUUUUUUUCAAAAAUGCAUAUUUUACUCUAUCACCCUCAUCUUCCUCAAGUAUUC
rnacentral:lncRNA from 1 species